AUACACACACACACACACACACACACACACAGUGUGGACCACCAUUAGAGUAGCCAUGAGUAAUGGUCGUUGUGUUUCUUUUGUUCUAAUUCUUAGGUAAUUAAAUUUUUAUGAAUACUAAACUUGACAAUUAAUGAAGUUGACACAGCGUUACAGUUUGCUGCUCUUUACCUCAGGGUUCGUUAAUUUUGAUUUGCACUUUCUCUGUAUGCUCUUUCAGAUCCCAGACAUUUGCAGAGGUCUUAACAGAGCGGAUAGGCCAUGAGAUCUGUGCUGGGACUAUCUAAAGGUUAACAGGGCCCUGACUGGGCUGACCACUGUUAUAUAACACGGGGGAAGAGGGGAGUUUGCCAUCACAGGUGAGAACAAUGUGACAGGCACCCAGGGCUCUGGCUGAGGUGAGUCACUUACACUUAGACCCAAAAGGACAAUAGCACUGUAGGGAAGCUCACAGAUUGGUGCUGGUAAGUCUCCCUUUUGUCUUCUUCAUCUUCCCUUGGGGACAGAGCAAUCAGUUUGCACCUUCUUACCUCUAGACCUCAGAGGAGACUCUCAAUAUCUUAUUAUUAUGACUUCAAUGUAGUAGGUAUGCUGCAGCUCAGAAAAGUCCAACAUAAUAAACACUGAUCUUAUCAUAUAUAUAUAUAUAUAUAUAUAUAUAUAUAUAUAUAUAUAUAUAUAUAUAUAUAUAAUGGAGGAUGGUAACUUGCUUUUUAAAAAAACGGUUCCUUGCCCCAUAAAAUGAAUUCAACUUUGGUCUCCCUAAAAUAGCCCACUCCCUUGGUGCAUGUUAAAUAUAAUUCAAUUUACAAAAAUUCGAUUUGCAUAUAACCUUUUCUGCAGCACAUCCAUUGUGCAAAGCAAUGUACACUUGUAAUUGGCUGCAAAUUGCCAGGAGACCACGCUUGCACAUAUUGUUCCUAGAUGUGCAAUUUUUUUCUUAGUCUCCACGGGAUAAGGGGUGGGGGUGGAGUGGUUGGAAUUCCAGUUGUUCAUCUGAUCCCAUUGGCUAUGCCGAGGAGGGAGGUUUGUCAGUUAUUCGGAGGCAGCACGUGCUAUGUGCAAAUCAAUGCUGUGCAUUUAGAAGUCGGAAAUGGGAAGAGGCUUGGCGACUGGGCCUGGACUGCCUGGCUGCAGUUGGUGACAACUGAGGACACCAGCGAACCCUCCUUAUCUCAGUGCCUGACAGGCAUCAGGAGAAGAAAUGAAACAGAGGACAACUCACGAUAGUGGCUGGGCUAUCAGUCUUCCCCCAUGAGACACUGACCUUCCGAGAAAAGAGCAGAGCUGGGUCCAGUGACCUGAGCCAUGUGGAGAAAGAGUGUGAGCCCAACUGAGCCAGUAGCUCCAGUAUCCUACCCUGGGAGCCUUCUGGCCACAGGAAUGUAGCCAAGACAUUUAGCAAUGACUGGUGGGUGGGAGUGGGGGCCGGGGGCGGGGCGAAGGUGGAAGGGCGCAGCAUUUUCUCAUGCAUCCACCUAAGAGGCACAAGUGGCUUCUUUUUGCAGCAAAUUCAAUUAAAGUAGAUUAUUGCCAAUGAUGCCAAGUCACAUUUAAAACCCUUUUCAACCUGAAUAUUAAAAACCCUGCCUGGCACAUCUUGCUCUUCUUUCAGAGAUAAUACUCAACACGCACACUGCUGCUAACUCACCUCCCUGAGCCUCACUCCCCGCCUCUUCUGAUUAGGCCUCUCCUGUCUCCCGGGAGUUUUCAUCUGGGAGGCUAACAGUGCUGGUUCCCCAGGCUAGCCUGCAGGGUGUGUCAGGUACCUGGGAAGAGUCAGGCCCCUCCCUCUGGAGACCUGGGCUGUAACCGCCAGAGCUUGGGAGAUGCGCUGAAAAGGAGUCUAGAGAUGCCUACCUAGACCUCAUUUUUUUUUUCUUGCUGGAGGGAAAAGCUCCUUAGGCCGCCAUGUAGCUGAGAAGCCUCUCACACUGCAAGUUCAACUCCCUGAAGGCAAUGCUUGGCUCCUUCUGGUUUUAAGGUAGGUGUUAUAAAUUGCCUGCCCUAAUAAGUAACAAUGACUUGCAGACUGGCAUUCCUGCUAAACCAAGUAGGAACACUGAAAACUUAUGAAAGUCUGCUUCUGAUGGCGGCUUUAAAGUCUUAUUUUUAUUUAUUUUUUUAUUAUUUCUGGAGAUGUGGUUUGUUUUGUUUUGUGUUUUGUUUUGUCAUGGAGACAAAGCCUCCUUCUGUAGCCUGAAAUUCAUUGUGCAGCCAUGGCCUUAAACUCAUGGCAAUCCCUCUGUCUCAGACUCCUGUGUGUUGAGAUUCUAAGCAUGAGACAUUGUAACUGAUUCCCCAGGGAAAGCUAAUCUCAGCCCACUUCCUCCAUAAAAUUGCUUAUUUUGGCCAAAUUUCCUUUUUCUUUUUCAGUGAGGUAUGGCGCCAUAUGACUACUGUGCCAUUACCACAGGUUCCCACUAUGGUGCCCUGGGAGGCAGAUCACACAUUGUAUGGUUGCACUGGGCAGGGCUGGCCCUGGGAAGGAUGGGGCUAACAUGUUUUUAAUUAAGUUCAAGGGAAGGAAAUGGCUUUGUGAGCAAGCCCAGCCAGUUCUUAUUCUAAGCUCCCUGUGCUCAGCACUAUCCUUGACAACACACACAGCCUCUAAGUGAUUGUCCCGAUCUGACUCACAGACUUGAGAGAGGAAACGAAAUCACAGGAUGAGCUGGCAGUGCCCAGUCCCUUGUCGUCAUAGCAAAUUCGAAGUCCCCUUCCCUGCUUCCCUGCUAGUGCCAUGGGCAUGAACAGCAGCCAGGCAGGACAGGCCAACAAAGGUGACAUAUAAAACUAACAGAAGGCCAGCACCACUGCCAUGGACCUUUGUGUGAAGGGCUGGAAGUGCUUAGGCCUAGGUGAUGCAGGCACACUGGAGCCUCUUAGAAUAGGCUCCCAUAUUCUUCCAUUCAUAUGCAAGCCACCUAGAGCGAGAGUAGACAGGAAGCUGAGACAGUAAGUGGCUGAGGAGGAAGCUGAAGUGGAUGAGGCUACACAUGUUCCCUCUGUUCUCCAGAAAUAUCAGUGGGGGAUAGGAGAAUAAGGUAUAAGUCAUGGUUUCUACAGAGACAGUUAUUUUCUGUCCUUUCAUAUGUAUUCAAUGAAGCCAGCAAGGCCUAAGGGGAAGAACCUGGCCCAGCAGAGGCCACCGUAUCAUGAAACAACAGUGACCAGGUCCACAAAGGUUGUAGAAUGUGGAAAGUCAUCCCUGGACCUUGUGGUGUCCUUUCUAUCUCUGUUAGGGAUGUAGACUCCAGAAUCUUCUGGGUUAAGUCCUUGGAAUUUAAUUUGAAGAAGCCUUUUUUUUCCUGCCUACUAUAUAUUGUAGCAACAGGAGCAUGGUGUAUUUCAGAGACCUCCUGUAGCCUGCUUUCUUCUGGAGAGGCAUGGAGUAGAGCCACAGAAAACUGGAAUGGUGACCCGUUAUGGCUGGUGGAAGGGGGUGCUUAAGAAAUCCUUUUCUUUUCAGGUUUCCUCAGCCUCGAGCAUCAGGUUAUAAAUACUCAGAUCCCAAGGUCACACACAAGGGCGAGAGAGCCCUAAUCAUGGAACUCGAGGCUUACAGAACUUCAAGGGAUGGUCAAAGUAGCUUCAGCUUCAACCUUCUUCAGCUCCCCUCUGCCGUUUACCUGUGCAGAAGCAUGCUUACUAUUCUAGUUUCAAUAUAGUUUCAGAGUUCAACUGCCCUCCUGUCUCUUUAUACACGUUGACCCAAACCAUCAAGACCCACCUAAGAGGUGCCCACCAGGCAGGGGAAAUCUCUCUGAGCCUACAAAUAAUAAGUGAAGAAUUUUUAAAAGAUGCUUUGGGAUGGAGGUUAGGGGAUGCAAAGACCCUGGGUUUGAUACUCAGUGAUGCAAAAUAAAUGAGUUUGUAAGAAGUGCCUGGGAGAACCCGUUUCCCUUUCUUGAAGUAUUCAAGUCAGAUAUAAAGCAUAAAAUCCUUAAAAAAACAAAACCUGUACCACAGCACACUGUAGGUUAGCCAUGCCUUGAGUAUUCCCCAAGUGUUAAAUAUUAGGAACUUGGUCUUCAGUGUGGCAAUGGAAGAGGUAAUAGAACCUUUUGAAUUGAUCUCAGUUACAGGCUGCUGGCGGUGUUGUCCUUGAAAGACAUGAAUGUGUUCCUCUGAGAUGCUGCAUGUAUGAUACUCAGUGAUCAAGUCGCCACGUAGCCUCUAACGAAGCACUGGAAGGACAUUCUGACUGGAAGGACAUUCUGACUGGAAGGACAUUCUGUUUAGCCACGGCUAUGCCCUCAGCCACCCCAAAGCUGAAGAGCUUUAGAUCACUUAUCAAAAUGUCCGACAGUUCUGUGGUCAGCUGGCUUGUGUUCACUCAAGCCGUAGCCUCCCACUGUGGUGAGAUGGUAGUUGCAGUUGGAGUCACCUGACACUCAACUGAGCUGGAAGCCCAAGGAUGAGCACUGGCGCCAGCUGCCAGCUGGAGUUACUGUGUGUGUUCUCACUGGGUGGUUUGGGCUUUUAUACUACUGGCAGCUCAUUCCAAAGAGAGGGUGUUCUAGAAAGAAAACUGGUGUCAUGUGUGGUCACCUUCUAGCUCCCAGAACCAGAGACCACAUAAUGCAUGAAUGACAGGAGAUGCGAUUCAGCAGGGGCCAUCUUUGAAAAUCAUCACAGACAGGUAUUAGUGAAGCUGGUCCUAGACCAUAACUGAUCUUGUAUAUGUGGGGUUUUUUAUAACAGCUCCUCUCCCUUCAGCUUUCCCAAAGGUAAAAUGUUAAUGAGAUCAUAUGUGAAUUCUCUGAUAAAUUAAUUAAUGCCUUCUUAUAAAGACUGCUAUUAUUAUUGGCCUGCCUCAUCAUUUCCACCUGGGAGUCCACAGAAAACAGGCACAACAGUGCAUGUAUCUCGACAACAAAAACCACAUUAAAUUCAUUGAAAUAACACAGACAUUCGAAUUGAGCACAGAUCAAAUCCUAUUACAAACAAAUUGCAUUAGGUUGUCUCCAAAAAUCCAGUGGAACCAGAUGUUUUCCGAGCUCUACUUUCUUCAAGCAAACACUCUAUGUAAGCAACGUGCAGGACUGGAGCUGAACGAAAGAGCCCCUGAAACCUGCAGGGUGGGAUUUAGGCCCAUUUUCUUUUAGCCUUGAGUCCCAACACCUUAAAAUCUAAAAAAGGUUUGCAAGGUUUGUAUGUGUGAGAUACCUGGGAAACAGUUAUAUUAUAGAAGUUGCUUCUUCGUUCUCCCAUUAUGCUUCUCUUCCGUUCAGCAGGGAUUGGAUGCACUCACAGUGCAAGAGCCGGACCAACAGCUGGAAGCCUCGCCCACACCAAUAACCUUUUGCACUGCAAGAGUAAAUUCAAAAUAGAGGAAGGGCUUCAAACUUCCCAAGCCUGUGUGGAUGGCUGUUUGUUAGCUCCUUGUCACUGGGGCAACAUACGUGAGAGAAGCCACUGACAAAAGGAAAGAUCUCAGUUUUUGUGAUUUCUGGUCCCUGGUCAGCUGGUUCCACUGCUGUGGACCUGAGGCAAAACUGAGACGUCGUGUAAGAGCAUGGAUGAGGAAUGCUGCUCACCUCAGCACAUCUGGAGAUGAGUUAGACACCAUAUGUACUCCAUUAUUUGUGUUUGGGUUUUCUCUGAUUUUUGUCUGAAAUGAAGCAAGCACAGCCUGCGAAUCUGCUGAAAGACUAAGAUUCAGAGAUACACAGAAGGAGACAGAGUUGGGGACAGUACUUUCCCAGGGGUAAUUUGUGUCUGAACAAGAUAUGGAAAGUUCUGGAAGGAGACGCACUGAAAGGACAAGCGUGGCUUCAGGAAACUUACAGUGCAGGAUUCAGGCAGUGAUUUGGCUGAUACGAAUUUCAGUCCUGUACUCCCGAAACAAAGAGAACAAGCUGGGAUCCUAUCAAAGAGCGAAGUGCUUGCUGGGAGAAAGGAGAACAGCCUGAUGCCCUCCAGCAGCUAAUGGAUGCAGGACCUCCACAUCCAUCCCCUCCUGGACCAGCGUGCCUGGGCCACAGGCUGGAGGUUCAAACAAUACAAACUUCCUUCUCUCAGCUUUGAAGGUUGAAAUCCAUGAUCAAGGUGCUGGCAGGAUUGGUCUCCGAAGCCUCUGUGCCUGGCCAAUGGAUCAUCUGUCACAUCUAGCUGUCUCUAUGCUUGGUAUCUGUGUGCCCUGGAGUUUCUCUUUGCCACAAAGACACCAACUAUAUCAGGUUAACGUCUACUCAUUGUCUCAAUCUAACCUAAUCACCUUCCCAGCAAACUCUAUACCCGAACCGGACAGCCUCAUCUCUGCCCAUAUAAGCUCCUUUAACCUUAGUUAUAUUUUUACAGACACAUGAUCUGAGCCACUGCAGUUUGGCCCUUAACAUGAGUAUAGAGGACAUACUCUAGACACACCCACCGUUUUCCCAAUGCUGCUUUAAUAUGUAAGAAAGAGCAGGUGAUAUAUCCGUGGUACAUAGAUGUGGGCUGUCUCUUAGGCUUAACUUGAAGGAAGAGUUACAGGAUAUAAGAGCUAUCUACCUAGAGAUGUUUCAGGCACUGAAAAUUGUAAGAAACUAGUUUGAUUUUGGCUGAACUGUCUUUUAAAUGGUGCAGCGAAAGCUUCAGCUGUGCUUUCAAUGGAGAGAAGUACAGGUAGCUGCCUGUAUCUAAUCUGGGCUGGGUUAAAAAAAAAUGUGACUCUCAGCCUCUUGUUCCACCCAUCCUUUUCUGCGUUUUCGCUUUUUUAACACAAAUGCUAUUUGCUCUGUCAUUUUAUUCCAAUCCUUUUCAAUAAAAAAUAUUUAAUUAGGAGACUAUUAAAACACAAAUGCUAUCAUAUAUGACGACAAUGCCAUUCCCAUGCCUUGGAAAUGAGUACCAAUUUCACACUUUAAACCCAAUUCAAAUUGUCCUCAUUUCAAAAAAAAAUUAUAAUUGAUUACAUGAAGCAGGCAUCUAGACAAGAUCAGUAUUGCAGUUGGCUGUUAGUAGAUCAUUUGUUGUGGGAAAAUGGUGUUUUCCAGAGACAUCCGAUUAGCCUGUCCUGUAAGGUUGGGAUUUUAUUUGUUUACUUGGGAACGGUUCCAAUUACUAAAAUAAAUUCAUGUUCUGAUGGAUUAUGAUAGAAUUGCGGGUUUAUUUAGCCUUGAGGACUGCACAUUGGCCUGGUGAGUGGCCAGCCUUACCACAGAGAGAAUUAAACUAGCCUUUUCUCUGGCUUCUCCAUUUCUAUGUCAUUGGAGUAGAGUCUAAAAUGUUUCCCCUCAUCCUAAGUAACAUUUCUAAUACAAAACACAAGUAAUAGACAAGCUCCCUGAGUUCUGUUACUCAGUUCAUGCACACGUGGCCUGGGUUUUAGCUGUCCUCUCCACCCAUCUUUAAGACAUCUAGUCUCAAAGCCAGUUCCACCACCCCUCAAGGCCCCCAUCCUUUCUUUGAGUCUUCCAGGAUCAGUUUCCUCAUGGACUCCAUACACCUGUGAUCACAAGAAUUGCCUGUUUCAUAUACAUCAACUGGACACAAAACUCGGCUGCUUGGGUGGCUUUCACAAGCUGUCACAACCAUUCGGUAUCUCGUGAGCUUUGUCACUUUUAGUACCAGGAGGAGAGCCAGUGAGAUGAUUGUGGUGGGAAAAGGUCACUUGCUAUACAAACCUAAAGACCAGACUUCAAGUCCCAAAACACAUAGUAGAAGGAGCAAGGUGUCUCCCAAAAGUUGUCCUCUGGCCCUCAUACCAAGUAUCCUAUGCACAUGCAUGCACACACACACAUAACGAUACACUUAAUAAAACGGGGGCUGAUAUGUGGGUCAUGACCUUUCACCUCUGGCUGGUCUCUGGCUCCCAUGCUUUCUAAUCCACUUCCUUCCAUUCUCUUUUCAAUCCCUCUUCUUGUCUCGUUCAGAAUAAUUUCUAGCUUAGUCUUGGGUCUCAUGCUACACUGCAGAUGGCUUGCUAAAAUCUUUCCCGUCCUCGUAUAUUUCAGGGCUUGCCUUCAGAUGAGUUUUGAAGAAUGAGUUCUUCUCCACCUUCUUAGAAGUAGACAUUGACCAGCUCCUACUUCCAAUCCAGCUAUCAUGCCCCCCUUUACCCUCCUGUCCUGUGCUGCGGCGAUCUCCUCAGAUGCUGCUCUCUGACUGAGCAGGGCGCUAGAAAUGCUGUCUGCCUGGUACUUCUGACACAGUUCAGAAAAUAGUAUCAGAGUGAGGAAGGAUGUCCCGUACUCCUAAUGGCUUUUACAUCUUGUUGAAGCAACACACCCCGAGUAUUGACGUUCCCAGUUUUACCUGUGUGCAGCUCUCGAAAGCCCCACUGCAAACCUACAACAGAGAUCAAACUUCUUAAUCCUGGCCCUUUGGUGAAGCAAAAUUUCUCCACUUCGCAAAUUCCCGGGGCCAAGGAGUUCUCUAUUGCAACAGAAAAGACAAACAAACAAAACAACAACAACAAAAACCCCAAUUCUCUGAAUAAUUGUGCCUCACCCAAUUCGGCAUGGCACAAAGGCUAACUGGACUCUGGUUCUCUUUGGACUUGGUUUCAGGAAGAUGUGCAGUCAUACCAGUGAUGUUGUCUGCCAGGAACUGCAGAAACCAUCAAUGUGAGACUCAGUUCUAGUCCCCCGUAUCUUGAAUCUGCUUAUAAACUCUUGUUUCUCUCCUAGAUAUGUUUACAGGUGUGUGUGUGUGUGUGUGUGUGUGUGUGUGUGUGUGUUAUAUGGGUUUGGACAUGUUCAUGUGUUGGUGUUUAUACCACUGUGUAUACCAGGAGUAGACAUCGGGUCUCUUUCUCAACCCUUUCUGUACUGAUUUUUUUUUUAAAGAAAGGAUCUUAAACUGAACCUGGGUCUCACUGACUGGCUAGACCAGGAUCUCUCUCCAUCUCCCCAGUACUGAGAUUACAGGCACAUGCUACACCAGUGAGCUCAGCUUUUUCUGUAGACCCUGGUGGGUCUAGCACUUGGGCCUUCAUGCUUAUGUGGCAAGCAGUUUCCUGAGGGAGCUAUCUUCCCGGGCCUGGCCAGGGGUCUUUAUGUCUCUCCUCCUCCAUGCUCCUGUCACUUCCCUCCGCUUCCAGUCAUUUUAAAUGUGCUUGUCUCCCGAGGACUCAAACACCAGCUGCUAGUCCACCAUCUGAAGAAAGCUCUCCAUACAAGCGAGAGUAUUGCCUGUGAGUGUGAAUGCUCUUAAGCUCUGUAGUAUUUUCAACUCAUCCAAACUGCCUAGCAUAGACAAACGCUCCUUGUGGAAUGGAUGUGUGCAUGUAACAAUUCUGGCAAGACGUCUUCAGUCGAUAGCUCCUGGCACUCAGUCCUUGAAAUUAAAGUAUCACGACAUCUUAAUUCCCUCCGCUCUAAGCCAUGGAGUUGGUCAGUUUUGCUAUACACCUACAGUCGGCCCAUGCAUCCUCUGGGUCUGUUUGCAAAGGGUAUUCUAAUGGCUGUAAUAUUUGAAUCGCUCUGCAUUUCCUGUGUACCCACCUCAUUAUCUUAACGGAAUCUGUAUGUCCUUUGUUUGGAGACCUGCAUACUGUAAAGGCUAUUACAGCUUACACUGGAGUGAAAAUAGUAGAUUUACGAGCUGUCUUCCAGUUCUUGUCUGCCCUCUCCUAAGGCCGCAACCCUGGAAAAUCAGUCACCGAAACCUGUUUUGGUGUCAAGUCUGAAAUUCUGCUUUCUACGAACAUUUCAUCAUGAAACCUUGGAAAUAAGCACACAGAGGUUUUUGCUCCUGACAUACCCCAGAAGGUCACAUGCUCUAAUUCAGCUUAAAGGGACACUAAUCAUAUUCAGUGUGUGAGCGGGGAGGCUUACAGUUGGAGAUGACACCAUCAUUUGCAUAGGAUGUAAAAAUGAAGGACCAUUAAUUUUAUAGCAUUAAUUGAAGAGCAGAAGUGUUAGACCUCUAUAAUUAUCUCCAGUGAAUACAUUUCAAAGACAUCUCUGCAAAUGAGGCUUGUGCGAGCGAAUGUGUGAGGACACAGACACAAAGAGCAGAAAGAAGCCUCCACUUUGUCCUCCUUCAAGAUGCAUAGAUUAGUGGGUUGUUAAGUUAAAACCCCAACUUAAAUUUGAAUUGCUUCUUCUGUGUGGAAACAAGACGUGUGUGAAUUCUAGACCCCCGGGGGGAUAGCUGGCACAAGGGGAGUACCCAGCCUAAAGGCUACAUUGCGGAGUCACUGGGAGAGAGAACAAGAGAAGUGGCAGCUCUAGCAGGUGGACCAUGUCCCCAUAUGUCCUUCUCCAACACUCCAUGCUCCAUCAAUCAUAGCUUCACCAGGAUCUGGUGCCCUUCUUCCUACCGUGUCUUUUCCUUACUCUGUAUUUACCAGUCCUGUGUAUAUUCCCACAGGCUAAUGUCUCAGAUCGAUAGACACGGGUUCAAAUAAAGGAUCACUUUGCAAUACUAGUCAUCUUAGUGGUUUGCAGUUCAAGGUCAAAAUGAAAGUGUUUUCUGUUUCUCUCUGUGUCUCUCUGUCUGUGUCUCUGUGUCUCUGUGUCUCUGUGUCUGUCUGUUUGUCUGUCUGCCUCUCUCUCUCUGUGUCUGUUUGUCUGUCUAGUAGGGUUUCAUGUAGUUCAGGUUGGCUAAAACUUGGUAUGUAGUUGAAGCCUUGAAGCCUUGAUCUUCCUGUCUCCACCUCCUGCCUGCUGGUACAAAGCACAACAUCCAGCUGGAAAAAAGCAUUCCUAAAGAUUUAAAGAGAAUAUUAUAGGAGUCAUUUAGGUGCCAUUAGCUUUGGAAUCAAAAGAAAUCAAAGUGGAAUAAAGGCUAUGGAUUACUGGGGAGUGAGCAAAAGAAGACAGCUGUGUAACUGUGGGUGACACUCUGCUGGGUCAAAACCAUCUCUCACCUCUCAGGACUGCUGGGCCAUUGUUUUCAGGGCUGAGGGUUCGGGAACAGAGGAAUCUGGGAAAGAGGAGGUACAGUCCAAGGCUUAAGAGCUACUUGGGAGUUUUAGUAAUUAUAUUGACAUGAAAGACUCAUCACUUUUAAAAAUAUGAGCUACCUCUGAACUUUAGAGUCCCACGAUCUCCCUGGGGUAUAAUUUUGGGUUCCUGAGGGUAAGGUUGGAAGCCAGUGGCGUAAAUCAGGGAAGGCUUUAGCUAAUGAGCUAAUCCGAUGCACACACUCAGUUAAAAUGCUCCUAUCUCCAGGGUCCCUGCAGGAGUGAUGACCCUGGUGAGAGUGUCAGGUACCACUAUACACGGGCAAAGGAGGAACUUGGGAACACGUGGGGCUUUUAAGAUAUCUUACCCUAUGGAGCACAGUCUAACUUCCCCGGAUUUAAGGGGUUAUCAGGGAUGGUGGCUGCUUCCUUUCAAUUCUUAUAUACCUCCCAGCUCAAUUUGCUUUUCAUUUCAUGCUUCAUUUCCUUAGUUUGGUACAACAUUCUUCUCCUUUUUACGGCUUCCUUGAGGUAGACUGUAUGUACAAUAAACUUUACAUAUUUAAAGUGUACAACUGGAUGUGUUUGGAAACACACCUACACAUGCACACAUACUCAGGAAGGCAAAGCAUCGGAUAUUUUUGUUACUACCCACAGCUACCUACGUCCUUUGCAAUGCUUCCUUCCCUCUGCCCUGGUCCCAGCAACUGCUGGCCUGUCUUCUAGUGUGCAUUUUCUGGAUGUUCAGCUAGAUGCUCACACAGGCGCAGAUUUCACCCAUCUUUGUUAGGUUCCUUUUAUACAUCAGGACCAUAUCUUGCUCUUCUGCUAGAAACAUUUGCCCAUCACACUAGAAAUAGCUUCAUGCUCCGCGACGGCCCAUGAUGUGACAAGAUCUGUAUCUUACACAGGAUGUGAGCACUGGCUUCUGUAUAUUGCUUUGUUCUGAGACAUUCACUAAACUAUACAGAUAGAGUCCCUUGUCUUAUUAGUUUUUAGGAGGGAGGGAGGGAAGGAGGGAGGGAGCGAGC